UUCCGAUGCAUGUAGCAAUAUAAUAGAAUCAGCUUACGCGGCCGGCCUCGCAUCGAAAGGGAAUCGGGUUAAUAUUCCCGAACCCGAACUCGGAGAGUGCCCGUCCGUCGGCGGGAACGCGGCGUGCUCUUCCUAGCAGCGCCGCGUUCGACGUCGG